GUGGGGAAUAUUGGACAAUGGGCGCAAGCCUGAUCCAGCCAUGCCGCGUGAGUGAUGAAGGCCCUAGGGUUGUAAAGCUCUUUCACCGGUGAAGAUAAUGACGGUAACCGGAGAAGAAGCCCCGGCUAACUUCGUGCCAGCAGCCGCGGUAAUACGAAGGGGGCUAGCGUUGUUCGGAAUUACUGGGCGUAAAGCGCACGUAGGCGGAUUGGUCAGUUAGAGGUGAAAUCCCGAAGCUCAACUUCGGAACUGCCUUUAAUACUGCCAGUCUCGAGUCCGGAAGAGGUGAGUGGAACUCCUAGUGUAGAGGUGGAAUUCGUAGAUAUUAGGAAGAACACCAGUGGCGAAGGCGGCUCACUGGUCCGGUACUGACGCUGAGGUGCGAAAGCGUGGGGAGCAAACAGGAUUAGAUACCCGAGUAGUCC
rnacentral:rRNA from 1 species